rnacentral:rRNA from 1 species
GACGAACGCUGGCGGCGCGCUUAACACAUGCAAGUCGAACGGAAAGGCCUGCUUUCCCUUGUGGAUUGCGGGUACUCGAGUGGCGAACGGGUGAGUAACACGUGAGUGAUCUGCCCCCAACUUGGGUAUAAGCCUGGGAAACUGGGUCUAAUUCCCGAUAGGACUGCAGGGUGGUGCCUGUGGUGGAAAACGAUUUUCUAGUGGUUGGGGAUGAGCUCGCGGCCUAUCAGCUUGUUGGUGGGGUAAUGGCCUACCAAGGCGGCGACGGGUAGCCGGCCUGGGAGGGUGGACGGCCACAUUGGGACUGAGAUACGGCCCAGACUCCUACGGGAGGCAGCAGUGGGGAAUAUUGCACAAUGGGCGGAAGCAUGAUGCAGCGACGCCGCGUGGGGGAUGACGGCCUUCGGGUUGUAAACUCCUUUCGACCGCGAGGAAGCCACCUGGUUGGAAGGGUGGUGACGGUAGUGGUAGAAGAAGCACCGGCUAACUACGU